UGAGGUUUCUUGGAAGUUUUGCGCACCUGCGCUGCGAUUUCUUCUUCCUCUCUCAGCAGAUCUUUAUACGACCGCCUCUUCUCCCUCUGACUGCGACCCGCAACAAGACCAACGUCUCCUUCCAUCCCCGACAUAUCUGCCAUCAUCACUCCUGGAUCUUCAGGUGGGAACAGUUACUCUGGAAAUUCUAGUGUAAAGGGAAAGAUUCAAGCCGUGUUUAAAUCUCAACUCAAUUACACACUUGUUGAAGAAGCUGCCCGGUCCAGAGUUUCGCUCCAGAAUGAUAUAAUCUCUCUGUCUUCUGGAGAGAAAAUAGCCCAUCUGGAGUCCUGCAGGUCCAGCUCCCA